AACGCACAUUGCGCCCUUUGGUAUUCCUUAGGGCAUGCCUGUUCGAGCGUCAUUUAAACCCUCAAGCUCUGCUUGGUGUUGGGCGCUUGUCCUGCCUCUGGUGUGGACUCGUCUUAAAGAUAUUGGUGGUUGGUGCAUUGACCGGAAAGCGCAGCAGAGACGUGCUCCUCCUAGUCUAGUGCCUUCCUCCAGAAAAGCUACUUUUAUAUCUUGACCUCGGAUCAGGUAGGGAUACCCGCUGAACUUAA
rnacentral:misc_RNA from 1 species